AUGUAUUAUACGAGCAGUUCAUACAAAAAAGAAGAAGCAAAAAGUAGUGAUUCAGUAUGUAUUAUAUGUCCAAAUUUUGUUUUAUUCAGCACAAGGCUUCCAAGCAUUGAUCAGAUUCAGCACAAGGCUCAGUUCAACAAAACGCAUGCUGACUUGGAUAUUUCUUUUUAUUCCAACAGUUUAAUUCUUAUGCGUCGUCCCGGCAACGCAUCCCGUAGCCACCGACCUCCUCUGGUUGGGCCACACCACCACGGGCCGGUCCACAAUGGUUGCUGGCAGCCGUCCAAGUUGAGAGCUGAUGGUAGUCCUCUGCAUGCGUCAACGACACUCUCACGGCAACCUCUCUCUCACUUUGCUUCUGCUAUUAAAAUGCGUACAUGUGUUCUGCUAAUUUAG
rnacentral:rRNA from 1 species